GUGACGGAUUGUCGGACCGGAAAUUCUCCCUCUUCUCCUGCAGAAGCCGGAGUGAGCAGACGUGCUCCCUUUCACGUCUCAACUGAACGAUGGGCUCCUCAAGAUUAACCUUCAAUACGAAGGAGUGCUGAUAAAGAUGGCUAAUUCCAGCUAUGACUGGCACACUUGAUACGAUGUCAGGCCACCACUGCAUAUUACAGACGGCCAAAUGCUGGUCCUAACAGCGUGGACCUUGAGCUGCUUCAGAUUAUAUGCUGUGGUGACAGGAAAUGCACCUGAUGUAAUCCUUACAGUCCCAUGCUGAUCAGGAGAUAAGCAUUUGCUGUAACGGAGCAAAAAGACAUGAAUGUCAGCUUCAUCACAUUCGUGGUUACACAGCAAGUUGACUGAUCAGACGUCUAUAGAAAAACGUCAUUUGAAAGGAAAGUGUUUCUGGAGCUGAUCGAUCACCAUUUGGCAGAGAUCUGUUAUUUGUUUUUGUUUUUUUGUUUUUUUUUUUUUUAAAUAAUAAAACUUGUCUAGAAGAAACAUGUCUUCCUCUUCUGAAUUUGUAUAUUUUUCUGUUAUGUGUUUUUAGAUGUUCUUUCUAAACAUGAACUGUAUUCAGAUUUUGAUCACCUAUCACCAGCAACCCUGUAAUCCCCAUUGCAUUAAAUUCAAGGUAUUUUUGUGCCUAUAUGGAUUUGAUGAGUCUAACAGUACUCACGGUCACUAUGAACAGACUUUAUAGUUAGUGUGAUCUGGUGCUGCCUACCUGUGUUUUUGGAUCUUUAGAGAAGUCUUACUCCUCUGUGAUGU